GUUACUGAACAUGCUAUUCAGGGCACGUUGGCCUUGAAUUCUACAUCUUCAUGUCAUAACUUCCAUAACACUAAUGUUAGUCAAAAAAGAACCACCUACAUUCCAAAACUGGGGGCUCCCCCAUGCCCCACCCCAGCAUCAAUGACUCAUCACUAGAAGCCAAUUCCACACAUUUGCAUACUUGUCAUGGUUUCAUAGCUCCCCUAUAUUCAUGGUCCACAACCCCUAUAAAAUCCAAGCCACCACGACCUGGUUUCUCUCUGUUUUUCCAUAGCAUCUCUAGCUCCCCUUCUUUCUUACAUGAAGACUGUUGUGUGGUGUCAUUUCAGCAGCAUUCCCUGGGCCUCUCGAAGUCAGAAUACCCUUUUGCUGCAAAAACGCAAAUAGGACUACAGGUGUGCGCCACCGGGUCCCAUUAAGAAAUUUUUUAAAGAAUUGAAGAGGGGAAACUACUGAUUGAAUAACAACUUGGAAGUAUAUAAUUAUAGAGGAAAUAAUAACUUUAAAAAUCAUUUUCAGAAACGGUUCAGCAGACCAACUGUUCAGGAACUAGACAGGAAAACUGACUAGAACAAAUAGUAAGCUCUAGGUUUAUAUAGAGACUGUGUCUCAAAAGUAAGGUGAAAAGCUAUAAAGGACAUGACAUUGAAUUCUGGCUUCCACACAUGUAUGAUGACAUGCCCACAAUAUAUGUGCACACAUGCAUAUAACACAAAUACACACACACAUACACACUAAAUUUUAAAACGCGAACCAUAGCAUCGGUUAUUGUAUUGUGCUAUUGAUAACCACCACAUGAGGGUGAUUUAUUUUGACCCUACUACAAUGUACAAAUCAUGUUUUUGAAAUAAAUAUUAUCAGAAACUACAGUGUUUCCUUGUGGAUAAAAGCUAUAAAGCUCCAGCGUGAAUCCCCAACAUGCUUCAUUAGGCACACCAAUAACUGCUCUGAGAGGAGUCACUGUCUCUAGCUUCCAGCUACUUCAGAGGAGCGUCUUGAUACAUGAAAAUCUUUUGAUAUUACACUGUAACUUAUUGUGAGUAGUUAAACCAAACUAAUUUUCAUAUAACAGAACCCCAAAACGUAAGUUUCUAAUAGCAACCAUUCAGUACACUUGGUCUUCUAGAAUUCUAAGAACAAAGGAUGAGACACUCCCUUCUCCCAAUCUUGGAAUGAAUUGCUGUUUUCUAAUGCUGAGUGAUGGGUUUUAUUGGUCAGCAAAAGAUGAUAGAAUGUGAUGUUUUAGGACAAUGUACCUGGACCACAACCGUUUGCCCUUAAUACUUGUGGUAAUACGAACUUGGACUCCUGCUAAUGGACCGGCUUGCCAAGUACAGGCCUUGAUCAGGAAUAAGUUACACAUCAAUUGUUGGACAUAAAUUACGGAAAGUAAACUCUUCGGACUUUAUAAAACACAGGCCUUGAGAAGAGCCUGGGAUUUUUGGCCUCUGGAGUCCCUCUCUACUUUUGCAGAAGUUCUUUCGUUCUUGGCUUUUCCUGUUAUCCAUCCAACUUUCUCCAACUGGGAAGUAGAUGAGGGCUUCCUGCUCCAGUCUCACAUGCUGUUUAGUGUCCACAAAAGCCAAGAGUUUUGCUUCUGUGAGAACUUAGCUGCAACUCCUUGCUCAAUAAAAAUUAUGCAACAUAAAAACACAGUAAAUGAUCUAUAAUAUUCUUAUCUAUUCUUGUAGAAUUUUAUACUGGCAUAUAGUGCAUCUCUAUCAUAUUUGGUUUCCCAUGUUUGAUUUCGGAGACUUCUAAAAUGUCAUGUAGAAUUCAUAAAAAUUAUAGACUAGCAUGCAAUUUGUCAGCCCUUAGCUGUUAAAAUCAAGACUUAUGACAGACUGGGAAUGAAAUUGAGAUAAGAGCCCAUACUUACUCUGAGAGACUCUGGGUUCAUUUGGUGCCCAAAAAGCAACAAUAAAGUAAAGGGAUUUGGGUGAGGGCAGAGGAGGUUAUCUGUAGGAGAACUUGAAGCAUUUGAGGUCAAGGCGGUGAUUAGUGGCAUCCAGGGACCAAGAGAGUAAAAUUCUGACAGGAUAUUCAAAGAAAGUGAAGCUGACGUAUCAGUUUAAGGUAACGAUCAAAACUGAUAAGAAAAGGAUUGGGAGACUUAAUCUGAAUGCAAUCUCUUCGUCCAUAAUCAUCUUUUAUUUUCUUUUGCAAAUUAAGGAACUGAGGCUAAUAAUGUUUUAGUGUCUUCUUCAAGACAACACAGCGUGUAAACUGCACAUGCAGACCCAAACCAGAGACAGUGCAAUUUACACUUGUCAGAUCUGUCUUAAAUCUAUGGAUGUGCAAUCUUAAACCAUUUGAUGUGUCUUAGUGGGUGCCAAUUAUAGAUGCAACUGGUCAUGUCUAUCUGGGAACGAUGCUCGGUUCAAUUGUCCAGCAUGAAGCAGGAUCUUAGGGUAGAGCAGGAUCAUAUUCACAGGUGAAGUUUUAACAUCGAUGCCACAGUAGCAUUAUAGCUAUAAGAAUGGUUGCACAAGGGAAACAUGUAUGUCUGAAGAACAUACAUACAGUCUGCCUUCCAACAAUAAGACAUCAGUCUGAAACCUGAAUUGGAAACCUCUGUAGAUAUUGGUCUUUAACAGGGUACAUCCUCUCCGGGUUGUUUUUUUUACCUUAACUCCAGUCCAGUGACUAAAAUAUUAAUUGAUACUCCCUCAUGUUUUUCUCCACUUAUUCAUUUUUUUUCUAUUGAUUUUUUUUAAAAGAACCUCCUGAUCACCAAGUAUUCAGAAGUAGGCAAGAUGGUGGGUUUCACUAUCAUGGGCAAAAGAGCAGGAUUCAGAGACAUAGCAUAAUACUGAUGUCUGUGACAACGUAAGCUGGGUUCCAGAGACCUCCAGUCAAGUGAGGCCAGAUGCUUCACUGCAGAAACAAAUUUCAGCAUGAAUCAGCAUAA
rnacentral:sRNA from 1 species